UUAAGCGACUAAGCGUACACGGUGGAUGCCCUGGCAGUCAGAGGCGAUGAAGGACGUGCUAAUCUGCGAAAAGCGUCGGUAAGGUGAUAUGAACCGUUACAGCCGGCGAUGUCCGAAUGGGGAAACCCAGUGCAAUUCGUUGCACUAUCGUUAACUGAAUACAUAGGUUAACGAGGCGAACCGGGGGAACUGAAACAUCUAAGUACCCCGAGGAAAAGAAAUCAACCGAGAUUCCCCCAGUAGCGGCGAGCGAACGGGGAGCAGCCCAGAGUCUGAAUCAGCUUGUGUGUUAGUGGAACGGUCUGGAAAGUCCGACGGUACAGGGUGAUAGUCCCGUACACCAAAAUGCACAGGUUGUGAACUCGAAGAGUAGGGCGGGACACGUGGUAUCCUGUCUGAAUAUGGGGGGACCAUCCUCCAAGGCUAAAUACUCCUGACUGACCGAUAGUGAACCAGUACCGUGAGGGAAAGGCGAAAAGAACCCCGGCGAGGGGAGUGAAAAAGAACCUGAAACCGUGUACGUACAAGCAGUGGGAGCACCUUCGGGUGUGACUGCGUACCUUUUGUAUAAUGGGUCAGCGACUUAUAUUCUGUAGCAAGGUUAACCGUAUAGGGGAGCCGCAGGGAAACCGAGUCUUAACUGGGCGUUAAGUUGCAGGGUAUAGACCCGAAACCCGGUGAUCUAGCCAUGGGCAGGUUGAAGGUUGGGUAACACUAACUGGAGGACCGAACCGACUAAUGUUGAAAAAUUAGCGGAUGACUUGUGGCUGGGGGUGAAAGGCCAAUCAAACCGGGAGAUAGCUGGUUCUCCCCGAAAGCUAUUUAGGUAGCGCCUCGUGAACUCAUCUUCGGGGGUAGAGCACUGUUUCGGCUAGGGGGUCAUCCCGACUUACCAACCCGAUGCAAACUACGAAUACCGAAGAAUGUUAUCACGGGAGACACACGGCGGGUGCUAACGUCCGUCGUGAAGAGGGAAACAACCCAGACCGCCAGCUAAGGUCCCAAAGUCAUGGUUAAGUGGGAAACGAUGUGGGAAGGCACAGACAGCCAGGAUGUUGGCUUAGAAGCAGCCAUCAUUUAAAGAAAGCGUAAUAGCUCACUGGUCGAGUCGGCCUGCGCGGAAGAUGUAACGGGGCUAAACCAUGCACCGAAGCUGCGGCAGCGACACUAUGUGUUGUUGGGUAGGGGAGCGUUCUGUAAGCCUGCGAAGGUGUGCUGUGAGGCAUGCUGGAGGUAUCAGAAGUGCGAAUGCUGACAUAAGUAACGAUAAAGCGGGUGAAAAGCCCGCUCGCCGGAAGACCAAGGGUUCCUGUCCAACGUUAAUCGGGGCAGGGUGAGUCGACCCCUAAGGCGAGGCCGAAAGGCGUAGUCGAUGGGAAACAGGUUAAUAUUCCUGUACUUGGUGUUACUGCGAAGGGGGGACGGAGAAGGCUAUGUUAGCCGGGCGACGGUUGUCCCGGUUUAAGCAUGUAGGCUGGUUGUCCAGGCAAAUCCGGAUAAUCAAGGCUGAGGUGUGAUGACGAGGCACUACGGUGCUGAAGUAACAAAUGCCCUGCUUCCAGGAAAAGCCUCUAAGCAUCAGGUAACAUCAAAUCGUACCCCAAACCGACACAGGUGGUCAGGUAGAGAAUACCAAGGCGCUUGAGAGAACUCGGGUGAAGGAACUAGGCAAAAUGGUGCCGUAACUUCGGGAGAAGGCACGCUGGUGUGUAGGUGAAGUCCCUGCGGAUGGAGCUGAGACCAGUCGAAGAUACCAGCUGGCUGCAACUGUUUAUUAAAAACACAGCACUGUGCAAACACGAAAGUGGACGUAUACGGUGUGACGCCUGCCCGGUGCCGGAAGGUUAAUUGAUGGGGUUAUCCGUAAGGAGAAGCUCUUGAUCGAAGCCCCGGUAAACGGCGGCCGUAACUAUAACGGUCCUAAGGUAGCGAAAUUCCUUGUCGGGUAAGUUCCGACCUGCACGAAUGGCGUAAUGAUGGCCAGGCUGUCUCCACCCGAGACUCAGUGAAAUUGAACUCGCUGUGAAGAUGCAGUGUACCCGCGGCAAGACGGAAAGACCCCGUGAACCUUUACUAUAGCUUGACACUGAACAUUGAGCCUUGAUGUGUAGGAUAGGUGGGAGGCUUUGAAGCGUGGACGCCAGUCUGCGUGGAGCCAACCUUGAAAUACCACCCUUUAAUGUUUGAUGUUCUAACGUUGGCCCCUGACCGGGGUUGCGGACAGUGUCUGGUGGGUAGUUUGACUGGGGCGGUCUCCUCCCAAAGCGUAACGGAGGAGCACGAAGGUUAGCUAAUCCUGGUCGGACAUCAGGAGGUUAGUGCAAUGGCAUAAGCUAGCUUGACUGCGAGCGUGACGGCGCGAGCAGGUGCGAAAGCAGGUCAUAGUGAUCCGGUGGUUCUGAAUGGAAGGGCCAUCGCUCAACGGAUAAAAGGUACUCCGGGGAUAACAGGCUGAUACCGCCCAAGAGUUCAUAUCGACGGCGGUGUUUGGCACCUCGAUGUCGGCUCAUCACAUCCUGGGGCUGAAGUAGGUCCCAAGGGUAUGGCUGUUCGCCAUUUAAAGUGGUACGCGAGCUGGGUUUAGAACGUCGUGAGACAGUUCGGUCCCUAUCUGCCGUGGGCGCUGGAGAAUUGAGGGGGGCUGCUCCUAGUACGAGAGGACCGGAGUGGACGCAUCACUGGUGUUCGGGUUGUCAUGCCAAUGGCACUGCCCGGUAGCUAAAUGCGGAAGAGAUAAGUGCUGAAAGCAUCUAAGCACGAAACUUGCCCCGAGAUGAGUUCUCCCUGAGACUAUAAGUCUCCUGAAGGAACGUUAAAGACGAUGACGUUGAUAGGCCGGGUGUGUAAGCGCAGCGAUGCGUUGAGCUAACCGGUACUAAUGAACCGUGAGGCUUAACCUU
rnacentral:rRNA from 1 species